rnacentral:rRNA from 1 species
UACGUAGGGUGCAAGCGAUAAUCGGAAUUACUGGGCGUAAAGCGUGCGCAGGCGGUUUUGUAAGUCUGUCGUGAAAGCCCCGGGCUCAACCUGGGAAUUGCGAUGGAGACUGCAAGGCUUGAAUCUGGCAGAGGGGGGUAGAAUUCCACGUGUAGCAGUGAAAUGCGUAGAGAUGUGGAGGAACACCGAUGGCGAAGGCAGCCCCCUGGGUCAAGAUUGACGCUCAUGCACGAAAGCGUGGGGAGCAAACAGG